AACGUAGGAGACAAACGUUAUCCGGAGUUACUGGGCGUAAAGGGCGUGUAGGUGGUAGUGUAAGUCUGGCGUGAAAUUUUUCGGCUUAACCGGGAAAGGUCGUCGGAUACUGCACAACUAGAGGACGGUAGAGGCGUGUGGAAUUCCGGGUGUAGUGGUGAAAUGCGUAGAGAUCAGGAGGAACACCGGUGGCGAAGGCGGCCUACUGGCGUGUCACUGACGCUGAGCGCGAAAGCUCGG
rnacentral:rRNA from 1 species